UACGAAGGGGGCUAGCGUUGCUCGGAAUGACUGGGCGUAAAGGGCGCGUAGGCGGUUCGUACAGUCAGACGUGAAAUUCCCGGGCUCAACCUGGGGCUGCAUUUGAUACGUUCGGACUAGAGUGGGGAAGAGGGUCGUGGAAUUCCCAGUGUAGAGGUGAAAUUCGUAGAUAUUGGGAAGAACGACCGGUGGCGAAGGCGGCGACCUGGUCCUUGACUGACGCUGAGGCGCGAAAGCGUGGGGAGCAAACAGGG
rnacentral:rRNA from 1 species